GCGCCCGUUGGCCGGUCGUUAUUCUCGUCGCCGGACGGCUACUUCCACCCGCUAGCCUAAGCGAACAGCGACGCUGCCCAAAGCCUACAGUCGGGUACCGAAGACUCCAUGGCCCAAUGGAGAUGACGAGCCUGCUGAGAAUGCAUGUGCACCAAGGCCGUCAUAAAAGCCGGGCAACACGGAAGCGAUCAGCAAAGUCUCUGGAAGCCGGAGAGAUGUGUCAUGGCAGGAAACGAGAACCAGCUUUUCAGCAUGUGCACCAAGGCCAUCAAAACGAUCAGGCAACACGGGAGCGAUCAGCAAUGACUGUAGAAGCAAGAGGGAUUUCUCAUUGCCGGAGGCGAGAACAAGCAUUCUAGGUAGGUGACAUGCAGUGAGCUCGGCAGAGCCACUUUUGGAAAUGGCUGUCAUGCAAUGCUUUAAUAGAGUAGUUUCGCUAGGUGGAACUUGCACUAGUUUCGCUAGGCGCAACAUAUGCAAGUUGUUCGGUGGUUCUCCGGAUAACAUGUUAGAGCUUCAACUCCAGAUCUUAACACGUUGGCUUAAACAAUCAGUGCAAGUCGAUCCUUCUACAAGUUGUUUCACAUGUGUUCGACAGUCUUCAAGAAUUUGAA
rnacentral:lncRNA from 1 species